ACGAACGCUGGCGGCGUGCCUAAUACAUGCAAGUCGAGCGAAUUUACGAGAGCUUGCUCUCGUAAAUUAGCGGCGGACGGGUGAGUAACACGUGGGCAACCUGCCUAUAAGACUGGGAUAACUUCGGGAAACCGGAGCUAAUACCGGAUAAUUCACAUCUACUCAUGUAGAUGUGCUGAAAGACGGUUUACGCUGUCACUUAUAGAUGGGCCCGCGGCGCAUUAGCUAGUUGGUGAGGUAACGGCUCACCAAGGCCACGAUGCGUAGCCGACCUGAGAGGGUGAUCGGCCACACUGGGACUGAGACACGGCCCAGACUCCUACGGGAGGCAGCAGUAGGGAAUCUUCCGCAAUGGACGAAAGUCUGACGGAGCAACGCCGCGUGAGUGA
rnacentral:rRNA from 1 species